GGGCCUGUAGCUUAGUCAGGUUGAGCGAUGGACUCUUAAUCCAUCGGCCAGGGGUUCAAAUCCCUUCAGGCCCG
rnacentral:tRNA from 1 species